AGCGAACGCUGGCGGCAGGCCUAACACAUGCAAGUCGAGCGCCCCGCAAGGGGAGCGGCAGACGGGAGAGUAACACGUGGGAACGUACCCUUUGGUUCGGAACAACCCAGGGAAACUUGGGCUAAUACCGAAUAAGCCCUUACGGGGAAAGAUUUAUCGCCGAAGGAUCGGCCCGCGUCUGAUUAGCUAGUUGGUGAGGUAACGGCUCACCAAGGCGACGAUCAGAACCUGUUCUGAAAGGAUGAUCAGUCUCACUGGGACUGGGACACGGCCUGGAGUACUAUGGUUGACAGCAGUGUGGAAGAUUCGAAAAUUGGGGCAAGCCUGAUCAAGCCAUGGCAUGUGGGUGAUGAAGGCCUUAGGGUUGUAAAGCCCUUUCGGCGGGGAAGAUAAUGACGUUACCCGCAGAAGAAGCCCCUGCUAACUUCGUGCAAGCCGCCGCCGUAA
rnacentral:rRNA from 1 species